rnacentral:rRNA from 1 species
CCUACGGGAGGCAGCAGUGGGGGAUAUUGCACAAUGGGGGGAACCCUGAUGCAGCGACGCCGCGUGGGUGAAGGAGUGCUUCGGCAUGUAAAGCCCUAUCGGCAGGGAAGAAGCAAGACGGUACCUGACUAAGAAGCCCCGGCGAACUACGUGCCAGCAGCCGCGGUAAUACGUAGGGGGCGAGCGUUAUCCGGAUUCACUGGGUGUAAAGGGAGCGUAGACGGCCAAGCAAGCCAGGGGUGAAAGCCCGGGGCCCAACCCCGGGACUGCCCUUGGAACUGCAUGGCUGGAGUGCGGGAGGGGCAGGCGGAAUUCCUGGUGUAGCGGUGGAAUGCGUAGAUAUCAGGAGGAACACCGGCGGCGAAGGCGGCCUGCUGGACCGCGACUGACGUUGAGGCUCGAAAGCGUGGGGAGCGAACAGGAUUAGAUACCCCUGUAGUC